CCUCCCACCCGUGUUGCCCGAACCUAUGUUGCCUCGGCGGGCCCCGCGCCCGCCGACGGCCCCCCUGAACGCUGUCUGAAGUUGCAGUCUGAGACCUAUAACGAAAUUAGUUAAAACUUUCAACAACGGAUCUCUUGGUUCCGGCAUCGAUGAAGAACGCAGCGAAAUGCGAUAACUAAUGUGAAUUGCAGAAUUCAGUGAAUCAUCGAGUCUUUGAACGCACAUUGCGCCCUCUGGUAUUCCGGAGGGCAUGCCUGUCCGAGCGUCAUUGCUGCCCUCAAGCCCGGCUUGUGUGUUGGGCCCCGUCCCCCCCGCCGGGGGGACGGGCCCGAAAGGCAGCGGCGGCACCGCGUCCGGUCCUCGAGCGUAUGGGGCUUCGUCACCCGCUCUAGUAGGCCCGGCCGGCGCCAGCCGACCCCCAACCUUUAAUUAUCUCAGGUUGACCUCGGAUCAGGUAGGGAUACCCGCUGAACUUAAGCAUAUCAAUAAGCGGAGGA
rnacentral:rRNA from 1 species